rnacentral:tRNA from 1 species
GCCCCGGUAGCUCAGCAGGUAGAGCGCAUGGCUGUUAACCAUGUCGUCGCAGGUUCGAGAAAUCGUGAAUACUUUCAUCGAUUAGAAAAUCCUGCCCGGGGCG